CUGUUGGUGGUUCAGUGGUAGGAUUCUCGCCUGUCACGUGAGAGACCCAGGUUCAAUUACUGGCCGAUGCC
rnacentral:tRNA from 1 species